rnacentral:rRNA from 1 species
GACGAACGCUGGCGGCGUGCUUAACACAUGCAAGUCGAACGGAAAGGCCCUGCUUUUGUGUGGUGCUCGAGUGGCGAACGGGUGAGUAACACGUGAGUAACCUGCCCUUGACUUUGGGAUAACUUCAGGAAACUGGGGCUAAUACCGGAUAGGAGCUCCUGCUGCAUGGUGGGGGUUGGAAAGUUUCGGCGGUUGGGGAUGGACGCGCGGCUUAUCAGCUUGUUGGUGGGGUAGUGGCUUACCAAGGCUUUGACGGGUAGCCGGCCUGAGAGGGUGAACGGCCACAUUGGGACUGAGAGACGGACCAGACGCCUACGGGGGGCAGCAGGGGAGAAUAUUGCACAAUGGGCGGAAGUCUGAUGCAGAAACGCCGCGUGUGGGAUGACGGCCUUCGGGUUGUAAACCGCUUUCGGUUGUGACGAAGCGUGAGUGACGGUAAUGGGUAAAGAAGCACCGGCUAACUACGUG